CACUAGGAAGCUAACCCGGGUCUAGCGUUAGCCUUUUAAGCUGAAGACUGGUGGCCCCCAACCACCCCUAGUGA
rnacentral:tRNA from 1 species